GCUUCCGUAGCUCAAUUGGUUAAGAGCGGUCGCUUGGUCUGCGGUUGAUGCGGGUUCGAGUCCCGCCGGAAGCG